rnacentral:rRNA from 1 species
GACGAACGCUGGCGGCGUGCCUAACACAUGCAAGUCAGGGGCAUCACAGUGUAGCAAUACACGGGUGGCGACCGGCGCACGGGUGCGUAACACGUAUCCAAUCUGCCCGUUACUCGGGGAUAGCCUUCUGAAAGGAAGAUUAAUACCCGAUGGCAUGUAUUUCCGGCAUCGGAGAUACAUUAAAGAUUUAUCGGUAACGGAUGAGGAUGCGUACGAUUAGCUAGUUGGCGGGGUAACGGCCCACCAAGGCUACGAUCGUUAGGGGUUCUGAGAGGAAGGUCCCCCACACUGGAACUGAGACACGGUCCAGACUCCUACGGGAGGCAGCAGUGAGGAAUAUUGGUCAAUGGGCGAGAGCCUGAACCAGCCAAGUAGCGUGAAGGAUGACUGCCCUACGGGUUGUAAACUUCUUUUGUUUGGGAAUAAAUGAUACUACGUGUAGUAUUUUGCAUGUACCUUACGAAUAAGCAUCGGCUAAUUCCGUG